rnacentral:lncRNA from 1 species
ACACGGUACGUUAGUCAGGUAGAUGAGAGAGAAGAGAACAGCAGAACCACACCUUCACGAGCUGCUUAGUUGCGUCGUCGACUUCUCCGCACAGGUACGUCCUCGAGGUGUCCCCAUGGUAUCCCUGCAGCAACAGUCCAUGCCAACCUUGUGGCGUCAGCAUUUAUCGUUACUAUACUGAUCACAUUAGAACAGAGCAUCGUUGAGGAAAAAAAUAUAUUUAUGUGUGUGUGUUGGUUGCAGAAGACAAGAACAGCAGAUAGCACAUACGUUUAAGUAGACAGUAACGUCGAUGUUGAUAAUGUCGCCAUCCUGCAAGGCCAUUGGGAGGAAGCAGAACCGUUCAGCUCAAAA